GUAGUCUCGCACAGAUGCAUAUCAAUAAGCGGAGGAAAAGAAACUAACAAGGACUCCCUCAGUAACGGCGAGUGAAGCGGGAAGAGCUCAAAUUUGAUAUCUUGAAAGGUCACCUUUCACGAAUUGUAGUUUAAAGAAGUGUUUUCUGUUACGAUCGUAAUAUAAGUUCUUUGGAAUAGGACAUCACAGAGGGUGAGAAUCCCGUCUAUGAUUGCGAUUUGUAGCUUUGUGAUACACUUUCAAAGAGUCGGGUUGUUUGGGAAUGCAGCCCAAAACGGGAGGUAAAUUUCUUCUAAGGCUAAAUAUUGGCGAGAGACCGAUAGCGAACAAGUACCGUGAGGGAAAGAUGAAAAGAACUUUGAAAAGAGAGUUAAAUAGUACGUGAAAUUGUCAAAAGGGAAGCGUUUAACACCAGUGUUGUUUUCUGAAAAUCAACCUCUGUUAGCUUUAUGCAUGUUUGUUUAGACCUAAUCAGCUAUCUUGCAUGUUCUAUUGUUUGCAGUGGUGCACUUUUCAGUUUACAGGUCAACAUCAGUUUUUUUUACCGUAAAAAAGUUAAAGAAAGGUAGCUCAUGGCUCCGGUCGUGAGUGUUAUAGUCUUUUUCCUAUGCGGUAGGAGAGACUGAGGUCUGCAGUGUAGGCUAUUUGGCUAGAUACUCAGGUGCUAUGUGAUACCAUUUCAUAAACAACUUGUUGAUUAUGUUUUGUCUAUUGCAUACUCGCUUGUACUAUCAUACCUACGCUUAGGAUGUUGAGUCGUAGAGCACGCAG
rnacentral:rRNA from 1 species